AACGAACGCUGGCGGCAGGCCUAACACAUGCAAGUCGAACGCUCCGCAAGGGGAGUGGCAGACGGGUGAGUAACACGUGGGAAUCUUCCUGUUGGUGCGGAAUAGCUCAGGGAAACUUGGGGUAAUACCGCAUAAGCCCGAGAGGGGAAAGAUUUAUCGCCGACAGAUGAGCCCGCGUCUGAUUAGCUAGUUGGUGAGGUAAUGGCUCACCAAGGCGACGAUCAGUAGCUGGUCUGAGAGGAUGACCAGCCACACUGGGACUGAGACACGGCCCAGACUCCUACGGGAGGCAGCAGUGGGGAAUAUUGGACAAUGGGCGCAAGCCUGAUCCAGCCAUGCCGCGUGAGUGACGAAGGUCUUCGGAUUGUAAAGCUCUUUUACCAGGGACGAUAAUGACGGUACCUGGAGAAUAAGCCCCGGCUAACUUCGUGCCAGCCGCCGC
rnacentral:rRNA from 1 species